GUCCGGGGUUACUAGAACGAUCGAACACAAAAAAUUAUGUGCUCUAUACGGUGCCGGAAAUGUUAAAAUUAGUUCGCGACAUUUCAGUCUAGCGAUGACCGUGAUCAAAGCUAUAACCAAUUCAAAUUAACACUACCUAGUACGUGACAAAUGACAGAUAAGCUUGAUUUAGGGGCCCUGUUUUAGCUGGAAAAGUUAUGAGUUGCAUCUUAUUGAAGCAUAACAAAGUCCAUUCGUUUUAAAAACGGAAUAAAUAGGUGACAAUGGAUAUGGAUUUAUUAUAACAAUGUCAAACAAGUCGAGCAACGAGAAGCGAGAUGCUUGAGGUAUGAAAGGACGACUAUUGACGCCACCAGCCACAUAAAUCCACCUGCCACCGCUGUGUAUUCCGGAUCAGGACGGGCCUGUCUCUUAAUAUCAGCAGAUUUUCUACCGGACAUCUUUGCCUCUU